AUGAACAGAAAAGCUAAAGAAAAGGUGGUGACGUCAGGAAGGCUCACAGGUACCGCCGGGAGGAGAGCCACUCCUGAUCCAGGACCAGCUGCCUGGCCUGAGCCACGUGACUCCCUUUACUCCACAAACUCCGAUCAGGUCACUACUCUUCACAAGGGUCUGGACCAGUGUGCUGCCUUGCUCAGUGGCAUUCUCCAGGCAGAGAAGGCAGACCUUCGGCACUCAGAACCAGACACUCGUAGACCAGCUCCUCCAGCUCUUCUGUCAAGACAAAAGCUACACCCGUCUCCCUCUGCUGCUCAGAACCAAACCCCUCGGCCCCCACUCAGCUUGGUCCCUCCACCUCAGACCUCCGUCCACGUCCAGACCAGCUGCCCUUCUGGUCCUGAAGUUCCACGUUCCACGACAGAGUGGGAUGGACUAAAGGAAGUUCCCGUCAAAGACUCUGAUGUCCAGGUCCCACAUGAAGACUCCCAUACCACGAUGGGGCUAAACCUGCAGGUAGAUCCUGGAGUCCCUGAGAACUCGUCCGUCAGAGGGGAGGACAGCCGGAGGACAGAAGCAGAGACGAUUGAUUGUCUGCUGGGAGAACUCAAAGCUCUGAUUGCUGGUCAAGGCAGUGUAGCAGAGAGGCUGCUCCUCCGUCUGGAGCAGGUUGUGUCUUCACAGAUAAAUGUCGGUUGUUCAAACGUCCCAACAGGAAGUCCAUCAGAUCCAUCAUGGCUGCCGGGUCAGAGUGCUCACCUGUGCAGGUGUGUGAAGAUUUCUGGCAAGGCGGAUGAACACCAGAAACAGGAACUACUUUCCAACUUAGGAGCGGUGAGUCUGAAGGAGGACCUUCUGGCUGCUCAGUCCAGACUCCAGGAGCUCCAGGAGGACUUCACAGAGCUACGGAAAGCCCUCCAGGACACCCAGAGCCAGCUGAGGGACAAAGAAGAGGAGAACACACUCCUAAAGACAGACCUGAAGGCCACCAGAGAACAUCUGCAGCAAACGCAGCAACAGAAGAUGGAGCUAGCCUCGCUCGCCCAGCAGAGACUAGAGGAGAUAGGAGCCCUUCAGAGAUGUCUUCAGAGUCAGAAGAGAUCAGAUGAGGUCCGCCAGUCUCCUGAACAGGACCCACCAGCGCCCCCCAGUGACCUGAUCAAACACUACCUGAUGUCUUUGAGCCAGGUGGAGCACACACACCCAGGGCUGCCUGUCCAGGUCAGAGGUCAUCCAGCCUCAUGGGCGAGUGAUGGACAUGUCUACCUGUGA
rnacentral:lncRNA from 1 species